rnacentral:rRNA from 1 species
UGGAAGUAAAAGUCGUAACAAGGUCUCCGUUGGUGAACCAGCGGAGGGAUCAUUACCGAGUUAUUCAACUCAUCAACCCUGUGAACAUACCUAAACGUUGCUUCGGCGGGAAUAGACGGCCCCGUGAAACGGGCCGCCCCCGCCAGAGGACCCUUAACUCUGUUUCUAUAAUGUUUCUUCUGAGUAAAACAAGCAAAUAAAUUAAAACUUUCAACAACGGAUCUCUUGGCUCUGGCAUCGAUGAAGAACGCAGCGAAAUGCGAUAAGUAAUGUGAAUUGCAGAAUUCAGUGAAUCAUCGAAUCUUUGAACGCACAUUGCGCCCGCCAGUAUUCUGGCGGGCAUGCCUGUUCGAGCGUCAUUACAACCCUCAGGCCCCCGGGCCUGGCGUUGGGGAUCGGCGGAGCCUCUCUGUGGGCACACGCCGUCCCCCAAAUACAGUGGCGGUCCCGCCGCAGCUUCCAUCGCGUAGUAGCUAACACCUCGCGACUGGAGAGCGGCGCGGCCACGCCGUAAAACACCCAACUUUUCUGAAGUUGACCUCGAAUCAGGUAGGAAUACCCGCUGAACUUAAGCAUAUCAAUAAGCGGAG